rnacentral:lncRNA from 1 species
CGGCGCCCGCUGUGCAUUGGGAGGCUCACGUCCCCACCCUCGGGCUUUCCAAGGUGCCGCGCCAGGGGUUGCUGAGGUAGAGGUGGCUCCCCUGCUCCUCCUUCCACCUCUCCGAUUCCACCUCCUCCUCGCACCCCGCUGGGAACUCCUCCAGGGGCUGAGAUUGGAUUCACCGAGCCUGCGGAGAGUGGGGAACUGCGGGCAGGUCGGCGGAGUUAGAUGGCAGCAAAGGUGGGCCGGCUUGGUGUGAUAAAGUUCCAACUGGGUCCUUCCGCGAGCCCUGGGUCCAUAAGAUGUCAUCGGCGAGCGCUGGACUUGACCGUCAACUUGGGAUUGUUAAGGUAGAACGGGUAACUCUGGUCAGCAGCACUACCACCUGCAUCCACUAGAGGCUGCUCUUUCACCACGUCAUUUCUUCCUCUCCAACUGUUUCCACAGUAUUUUCAGCUGCUCUUCAUUUUGUUUUUCUUUUUCCUUUUACUUUUCUUACUCCCCUUUCUACACACUGAAGUUGCUGUUGUUUUAUGUUUACUUCUUCUCCUUCUAAUUCUUCUUUUCUUUUUUUUGAAAAGUUGGAGUGUGAGAUUGCAUUCUCGGCUCAUCACAGCCUCAACCUUCCUGGGCUCCCGCAGGUGUUCUUGCCAUCUCAGCCUUCCAAGUGGCUGAGAUUGCAGGAAUAGCUUGAUUCUGGGAUGUCGAAGCUGCAGUGAGCCAUGAUCACGCCAUUGCCCUCCAGCCUGAGUGACAGAGAAAGACCCUGUUUCAGAAAGUACUGUAUGGAUGGUCAAGUGCUGGAAAGAAAAAAAAAUGGCCCAUAAAUUUGUUUGGUUUCACAAGAGACAUGGGAGACCAAAUAACGCACGAUGAGUACUUUUCUAAAUAUCCUGUUUAUUCUCCCAACGGGGCUCAUAAAAAUACGGAUGCAUUCAGUGGGUUGAGAGAUCUCUGUGCAGUCGUGACCCUGCAAUUAUAUUUGACAAGGGUGGUGAUGACAGAUGGGUGGCACAGAAGCCUACCCUUCUUUGGCACCAAUUGAGCAUGGUGACAACAGAUUCAAAAUGGCCUGUGUCUGAACUUGAUGGUCCUGUUUUUCUGCUCUGGUCUUUAGGAAUGAGGGGAGCCUUCCCGAGUUCCGCCAUUUCCUUGCAUUUUUCUUUUUACAUAUAUUCGUUCACUUAUUUAUUUACUAAUUUAUUUUAAAUAGAGUCUUGUUCUGUAGCCCAGGCUGUGGGGUUUUUUUGGCUGGCUGCAAUCUCCACCUCCCUGGUUCCAGCAAUUCUCCUGCCACAGCCUCCUGAGUAGCUGGGAUUACAGGUGUAUGCCACCCUGCUCACCUAACUUUUGUUUUUUUAGUAGAGACAGGGUUUCACCAUGUUGCCCAGGCUGACCUUCAGGGAUCUGCCUGCCUCAGUCUCCCAAAGUGCUGGGAUAACAGGUGUGAGUCACCGCGCCCAGCCUAAAUUGCAAUUUUUCAAAAUAAAUGUUUUGUUUUGCUUUUUUUAAAAGUAGGUCAUCACCUAGUGACCACUGUUAUUGAAAGGCCACUGUUAUUGAAAGUGGCCACUGUUAUUUAAAGGUGGCACUGAGGGCCGCCUGGCCACUUCACAGAGCCUGGGGCAACUGCUUUCUCUCCUUCCCUUCUGGAGGCCCCUCCCUCUCUCCCUCACUGCCUAGGGAACUUCCAUCCUGGUGCGGACCCUGUUGUUCUUUUAUCCCUCUAGGUAAAUGGUGUCUCCUUCUGUCGCCAAGGCGGUGGCAUGGUCUCGGCUGGCUGCAAUCUCCACCUCCUUGCUUCCAGCGAUUCUCCUGCCUCAGCCCCCCGAGUAGCAGAAAUUACAGAACCCAGAGUUGAUCUCUGCACCACGCCAUCACUGCUGGUGGUGAGGAAAUGGUGCCUCUUUCAGUGAUAUGAAGUUAAAACCAGGAGGGAAGAUCAGUGGAGCCUUCUUUCUGCCAUCUUGUGUUACCUUUGCAGCCAAGAAUCAGAAUGAAGAACUUUCAAUAAGAAAAGCUUUCAGAACCAGGAAGGACGUAGAAGAUGUCCUGGUUCUGUACGUUUAACAUUGGACUGUUUCUUCAACUUAGGUGCAUAACAGUGACUAAUCAGGGAUUAUCAUAGAUAAUUUGACUUGGAAUAUAGAGUUCAUUCAAAUACUUUAUCUAGACAAUUUAAGUACUGGCUGAUUUGGCAUGAAAAUCUGACAAACUAUUUUCUUGGUAUUCAAUUGAUUUUUACUCUGUUUGCUGUAGUAGUUUUAUAAACCAAUCAGUCUUCAUUAAAGUUCUGGGAAUUCUUACCCUGUUCAAAUGAUAUGAUUCUAACGUUGUCAAAAAUCUGUAUUCAAGAAUACUUCUCAGGACCUUUUCCAUCCUUUCAUGAAACUCCUUAAAGAUACAGUAUUCUAUAAUUUUGCAAGCUUGUAAAGUUUUCAGAAUUUGAAAUGCCUCACAAUUAAGCAAUUUACUGUAGAAAUGAUUUUAAAUUUUCAUAGACACAGUUGACAAGAAAAUUUUAUUAUUUACAGGAGUGACCCACCACACCAGGCCUCUGAAGUUCAUUUAAUAAAAUUUUAUAAAUAAAUUU